rnacentral:rRNA from 1 species
UACGUAGGGGGCGAGCGUUAUCCGGAUUUAUUGGGUGUAAAGGGUGCGUAGACGGAUGAGCAAGUUAGUUGUGAAAUCCCUCGGCUUAACUGAGGAACUGCAACUAAAACUGUUUACCUUGAGUGCGGGAGAGGAAAGCGGAAUUCCUAGUGUAGCGGUGAAAUGCGUAAAUAUUAGGAGGAACACCAGUGGCGAAGGCGGCUUUCUGGACCGUAACUGACGUUGAGGCACGAAAGUGUGGGGAGCAAAC